UUGUUCCGUCAGGGGCAUCGCUGCGUAGCCAUGUGCGGAAGAGAUAAGCGCUGAAAGCAUCUAAGUGCCAAGCUCAUCCCAAGAUAAUGUUUCCCGGACGCAAGUCCCUAAAGACCACGGGCAGACCACCCGUUUGAUAGGUUAGGAAUGGAAGCGCCGCGAGGCGUUAAGUUGACUAAUACUAAUCGGUCGUGCGGCUUGAUUGC
rnacentral:rRNA from 1 species